UACGAAGGGGGCUAGCGUUGCUCGGAAUUACUGGGCGUAAAGCGCGCGCAGGCGGUCUUCCAAGUCAGUGGUGAAAGCCCGGAGCUCAACUCCGGAACUGCCAUUGAAACUGUUAGACUUGAGGAUGAGAGAGGUGAGUGGAAUUCCCAGUGUAGAGGUGAAAUUCGUAGAUAUUGGGAAGAACACCGGUGGCGAAGGCGGCUCACUGGCUCAUUACUGACGCUCAGGCGCGAUAGCGUGGGGAUCAAACAGG
rnacentral:rRNA from 1 species